UGCUUCCAGCUGGGAUAUCCUGAUUGGAAGUCAACUCGGACAGUCAGCGUUGCUCCUUCCUUACCGUCCUCUUAGUGCAAGUUCCUCAAAGAAGACUGUGAUGUGUACACAGGCUGGUUUGCACAUACACAAUGCAUCGAACACAUGAUCUGCUUUGCUCAUCCUGUGUGGCUUUGGGGUCCAAGGGGAGGGGAGAGGAAAGAGGCUGAGAAAAUCGGCAUUUCUUCCUGUCAGGUGAAGGAGAAGUGAUAUUCCACGAAUGUCUAAGGUUGGCUGGCCAGCAGAGUUUGGAUUGUCGAACACAGUUUUUGGCUCUGCCUUUUCAUGGUGGCCAGUUUCACAAAGAGGCUGCAGGAAGCUGCUUCCAGCAGGCUGAGUCCUGAGGAGGAGACGAUAACAGUGGGAGAAGCACCUGGUAACAGCGGCACUUCAUCCAGGAAGAAAACAGGAUCUAAAAUAUAAACAACAUCCUUACAACACAAGACUCUAAACCCCACCCCCCCCUUUUUUUCCCCAUUACACCAUGAGGCCUCUGGACAAGGUGAAGUAACUGACCUUUCAGCUUCUGGUACUGACGAGAGCAUUGCAGAAUAUGAGCAUCUAUCAUGGACCAACCAAUAACUGCAAUAAAAGUGUGAUAGAUGCUCUAUCCCCUGGCAGAUGAUGAGUAUCUUCAAGAUGGUGAGUAUCUUUAAGAUGGUAUCUUUAUCUCUGUAUCACCAGGACCUGCCUAAAAAAACAGGUCCAUAAUAUAGUCUAUAAGAAACUAUUAAAUAAAUGAAUGAGAAAUGGAUAUCAGGAAAGGAAAAAACCAAUUAUCGAUCG